UGAGAAAUGAGACAAAGAAUCCUUCAAAUGAAAUAAGACAGCCGACAUGUUCCCUAGUAUAGCUGUAAGGGUGGAGGAGUUCCAAACCUUCAGGAAGAAAUAAAUAUGUCCUCUUAAACACUAGUAUAGCUGUAAGGGUGGAGAAGUUCCAAACCUUCAGGCAGAAAUAAAUAUGUCCUCUUAAACACUAGUAUAGCUGUAAGGGUGGAGAAGUUCCAAACCUUCAGGCAGAAAUAAAUAUAUCCUCUUAAACACUUCAGAACAGAAAGGAUGGAUGCGGAGAACAGGGUUGUGUUGAACUGUGGAGGUAUCAGACAUGAAGUAUACAAGGCAACCUUGAAGAAGA